CCAAAGCCCUUCAGGCCGGGUCGGUCUCGUGGUUCUCCAGCGGAGCCAUCAGCUCGUCCCGGGGUGCGAGUGCCCGCAUCACUGCCGAGAGAGAGCGGCUCUCCUGGGCCUGCAGCCGCUUCCCCCCACCGGGUGUCGCUGCCCGACGCCUUCUCCCCGGCCGGGGCCGGGUUGGGGCCGGGUUGGAGCUGGGCCGGGGCCGGGUUGUGUUUGGGAUUGGGAUUGGGAUUGGGAUUGGGAUUGGGAUCGGGGCCUGGCCAGGGCAGGGCCGGUGCCGCGUUGGGGCUGGCUCGGGGCUCGGGCGGGACCGGGCAGAGGCUGAGGCCGAGGCAGGGUUGGGGCAGCCCCGCAGCUCCGGCCGGCGCUUCCGGAGGCCGCUGCUCUAAACCCGCAGUGAGCUGUCGCUGAGGAGCCCGAGUGCCCGUGGUGAGCGGCUCUGCAGAGCAAGAGAUGUUGGCAUUUGUUGGGAGGGGAUGCGCGGAGGCACCGCUGACCUACCUGUGCCCAGUUUAGAAAGGCCCUUGGAAGCCCCUGGCACUGUUGUUGCUGGGAAGUGCUGUGCUUGCAAGGCUGGCUCUGGCAGGAUAAGUCUAGCCACUGGAAGAAGAGAAGAAAGAAUGGAAAUCAGCAGGCACCCAGGUGUAAUAGCCAUGGAAGGUAAUGACAAAACCUUUUUUGUCUAAACUCAGUUUCUUUUGCAUAAUGUUUGUCUAUAAUCCAGCAAAAGAUUCUCUGGAUAUUAGUUAAAUAUGGAUUAAAUUAUAUAUUCAUCAUCAUUAAUUUAGAUACAAAACAGUGUCCUUUCAGGUAUAAAAUAUUUUGUAGUACCAAAAAAAGGGAAGGAACUGCCCUGGGAUUUUACAGCUCUAAUCCAACCAAGUGAAUGGUGGGGGUAAUCCAACAGAUGACAGGGUGCCCUAAAACAGUCAGCAGGAAGAUCUGGUAUUCCCUUUUAGCAACUGCAUUGUACCAUGUAGAGGGGUCCUGCUGGGUAGGUUCAUGAGCAAAAUCAGCUUCCCACACCAUCCAUACAGUUCAAUUCUCUUGCACAGACAAUACCUAUCUGGUUGGGUUUUAUGGGAAG
rnacentral:lncRNA from 1 species